rnacentral:lncRNA from 1 species
AAGCAAUUUGCUCAUAGCCAUAGCUUUCUUGUGAAAGUAGGAUAUUAACCCAGGUGUCUUGGUGCUGGAGAACAGAACUGGCCAGAGUCCAUCCUGUCUCCCACCGGCAUCCCAUUACGAAAUGAACACAGAAAAGGCAGGUCUGCAAUGCCAACAUCUAGUAUCUAUCCCAAAGACCAGGGAGAAAGGAAGGAAAGAUUCUGGUUCUGUCCUCUUCCCCAAGGCAAGGCUGGCUGCCCUACCAACAGAGGCAAAGAGAAGAGUGUGCAAGGCUGGCUGCCCUCCCAACAGAGGCAAAGAGGAGUGUGUGUUGAAAUAUCCAUUGAAUCCCUGAGACAACUGGAUCCUGGCCCAUUGAAUCAUAAACUCAAAUCUCACAUCAUAACCCCAAAUGACCUGUUACUCACCAUGUGGCCCAGCUGUCUUCAAACUCACCAGCCUCCUGCCUUAGCCUUCUAAAUGCUUGGAUUACAGGCAUGACCCACCAUAACUGGCUUUGUUUUAGUUUCAGAGAAGAUGAAACUGAUGUGCGUCAAAAAGUUAUGGAGGCUGGGAAGACCUAGAAUGUGGCAUCACUAUUUGGUUAUUUAGAAAAUUGUUACCUCAAAAAUGACCUAGGGGUCCUUAGAAUAAUAACACACAGAAGAAUAGCCUCAUUUUUCUGUUGGGCCCAGGAAACCAUGCCGAUUACCGACCGAGCUCUCAAUGGAAAAAUGCAGUCGGCGUGAACCACGCACGAACACAGCAGAGAAAGAAGAAAACACACACCACGAGGAACCCUAAUAGGACAAUACAUUAUAAGUCACAGUGCUACGGAGAAACCCAGUAGCCACAUGGAAGCAGAGACCAUGCAUAUGCAUCUACUCCGCAGCUCUGUGAAUGUCAGCAGCUCCCACGGACUGGAGAUCCCGUGAGAUCCCGUGAGAUCUCACCCAUAGCCUCAUGGUACAUCCACUUGGUGUGCUGGGAGAGUCAGGAUGAGGACCUGAGAAGAACAGCAGCUUGAACCUGACUUCAUUUAACAGCCCACUGCCCUCUUGCCAAGAACCCAUCACAGACCUUCCCAGAAGAGAGGGAUGAGCCUCACCUAUGAAUAAGUCCUCAGAAACUCAAAUUUGAUUCUAAUGGAUUGUUUUCUCAGAAAGACUGAGCAUGUCCCCCCACAUCUCUGUCAUUUCCCACAGUAGUAACCUCUGCAGAUGCCACAUAGAAAACAAAACAAAACAAAAAAACAUGAGGUUGGUGGGCAGAUAGGCAGGGUAUAAACAAACAGCCUUGUAACCCAGAAGCUGUGUGAUAUACAGUAAACUUCACAACACUGAAAAGAUGUCCUAUCUGUUAAAAUGGGGUAAUAACAACUACCCGAAUGUUUAGGAAUAGAACUUCAAUAAAUGAUACAUUUUAUAGUACAGCAGACCAUCCUGUAAAGGUUUCAUCCUUCACUGUGGUGAUAAAUAUCCCAAACCACAUUGAAAAGCAUUGCAUCUACAUUUAUCUACACUGUAACUGUACUGUAAAUCAUGGGGGAGGGGAGAAUCAUAAAAACACCACCUGUCACCGUGUCAUUAAAGCAAGUUGGAAGUGAUACUUACAGAAACACAGCAAGAGCACCCCCAGUCACACAGUUCAAUCUCUUAGCAAGCGUUUUCUUUCUAGCCCAGUGGUUCUCAGUUUGGAAUUUUUGGCACUGCCUAGAGAUAGUUUUGUUGUUAAAACUGAGAAAAGAGCCGGGCGUGGUGGCACACGCCUUUAAUCCCAGCACUCAGGAGGCAGAGGCAGG